rnacentral:lncRNA from 1 species
CCAACGUAAGCUGAAACCAUUCCGUUUUCCAAUUAAUUGCAUGAAAUAUGUACAGGAAGCACUAGCAGCAUUUGUAUGUACAGUACAUCUACUCCACCAUCCUCAAUUUCCAAAGGUUUGCACAUGCUUGUUCCCCCUUCCAACCAGAAACAUAUUGUGACGAGAAUGAUUGCUGCUACCCAGGUCCGCCCGGCCCAAGCUCAACCGGUGCGGCGUCGUGAUCAGCUCGGGCCCCAGCAGCUGAGGUACAUGGCCUUGCGGAGCGACUCGUCGGCGCCGGCCUGCCUCCGGCCGUCGUCGGCGACCGCUCGCGCCGCCCCGAGCGCGGCGGCCUGGGGGGCGAGCCCGGCAAGUCGGUCCCGCGACCCCGCCCCCGCCGCCCUCUCCCUCUGCGCCCGCACGGCGGCCACCGUCGCUGCCACCCACACACGGCUCAUCUUAAAAUUCUACCCGACCGGUUCGUUUCCAAAGUCCUCCUACUCUGUUCUCAGCUCGCUUCGCUCUCUUCUCUGUGCUAUGCACUGCUAGCUCUGGAGGUGGGAGAGUGGAGAAGAGGGGCCGGUAUUUGUAGCCCGAGCGAGGGCGGUUUUGGUCAUUGGCAUUUGAUGGUUUUGUGGCUGCUGGUUUCGGUCUUAUCGUGUGCGGUGGUGCGAUAUUGUCGCGGGUGAAAUCGGGCGGCAUGGCCGUGAGGGACACAGCUCGUGGGGCAGCUACAGGUGUCGAGGCUUUCGCCGGGGGCAGUGGUGACUCAUCGUUUCCCAUGGGUGGCCGUGGGCUCCGCCGGCUUUGUCGCCUUUGUAUUCUCUUGUACCAUCCACUCUUGUCCA